UACGUAGGGUGCGAGCGUUAAUCGGAAUUACUGGGCGUAAAGCGUGCGCAGGCGGUUUUGUAAGCCAGAUGUGAAAGCCCCGGGCUUAACCUGGGAAUGGCAUUUGAGACUGCGUAGCUAGGGUGCGGAAGAGGGAAGCGGAAUUCCACGUGUAGCGGUGAAAUGCGUAGAUAUGUGGAAGAACACCGGUGGCGAAAGCGGUUCUCUAGCUUAUGCCUGACGCUGAGGCGCGAGAGCAAGGGGAGCAAACAGG
rnacentral:rRNA from 1 species